GCCAACAGCCAUAUCACCCUGCAGCUCUCAACUGGCUACCUCCCUAAAACUAAGCAGGGUUGAGCCUGGUCAGUAACUGGAUGGGAGACCUCCUGGGAAGCUAUGGUUGCUGCUGGAA
rnacentral:rRNA from 1 species